rnacentral:rRNA from 1 species
UACGGGGGGGGCAAGCGUUGUUCGGAAUUACUGGGCGUAAAGGGCUCGUAGGUGGCCAACUAAGUCAGACGUGAAAUCCCUCAGCUUAACUGGGGAACUGCGUCUGAUACUGGAUGGCUUGAGUUUGGGAGAGGGAUGCGGAAUUCCAGGUGUAGCGGUGAAAUGCGUAGAUAUCUGGAGGAACACCGGUGGCGAAGGCGGCAUCCUGGACCGAGAUUGACGCUGAUGAGCGAAAGCUAGGGGAGCAAACGGG